rnacentral:rRNA from 1 species
AUUGAACGCUGGCGGCAGGCCUAACACAUGCAAGUCGGACGGUAGCACAGAGAGCUUGCUCUUGAGUGACGAGUGGCGGACGGGUGAGUAAUGUCUGGGGAUCUGCCCGAUAGAGGGGGAUAACCACUGGAAACGGUGGCUAAUACCGCAUAACGUCGCAAGACCAAAGAGGGGGACCUUCGGGCCUCUCACUAUCGGAUGAACCCAGAUGGGAUUAGCUAGUAGGCGGGGUAAUGGCCCACCUAGGCGACGAUCCCUAGCUGGUCUGAGAGGAUAAGCAGCGACACUGGAACUGAGACAGGGUGAGGACUCCUACGGGAGGAAGCAGAGGAGAAUAUUGCACAAUGGGCGCAAGGCAGAGGCAGCCAUGGCACGUGUAUGGAGAAGGCCUUCGGGUUGUAAAGUACUUGCGGCGGGGAGGAAGGCGGUGAGGUUAAUAACCUUGCCGAUUGACGUUACCCGCAGAAGAAGCACCGGCUAACUCCGUGCCAGCCGCCGCAGUCAUAC